rnacentral:rRNA from 1 species
AUGUGUAAACAGUGGCUAUGGUGGCUCAAAGGGAAGCAGCGGCUGCUCCAUGGAAACACGCAACUUAGUGAUGUACUUUUUGUUUCUAGAUUUUGUUCACUCUCAUUAAAUUUUAAGCAAGAAAAUCCACUACCCUGCAAAAAGUUCUUCCAACAAAUAUUUUUGUGUGUGCAAUUAAGAUCAAUCUUCCUAUUCAUUCAUUGCACGCUGUUAUUCUGCAGGACCGGCGAAGUGCAAGGUCAUGUACAAGGGAUAAGCUGGUCAAUGAAGGAAAUUCUAAAAGAAAGCGACUACAAGCAACAUUUGAAGGUACAGCUUGUAUUAUGUUACUUCAGAAAUUAA